rnacentral:lncRNA from 1 species
AUUGAUGCGGGAUUUCACUCCCAAUGGUAUUGCAGGAGCCUUUCAGAGAGGAUAUGACCGGUAUUACAACAAGUACAUCAACGUUCGGAAAGGCAGCAUCUCAGGGAUUAACAUGGUGCUGGCAGCCUACGUGGUUUUCAGCUACGGCAUUUCUUACAAGGAACUCAAACAUGAACGGCGACCUCCCCCUCUUCCUUCAAGACUGACAGCCAGGAGCAGCAAGGAGAUGGCUCAGCAGUUAGAGAUACCUAUCACCAAGCCUGAUGGCCAGUGUUUGUGCCCAGGACCCACACGCACAUGAUAGAUGGAGAGACACAACUCCCACAAAUUGUCCUCUGACUUUGGCAUGUGCAGCAGAGCGCACGCGCUAAAUAAGCGUAAUUUAAAAAAAAUUAAAGAUAGAAAAGAAUUCUAAAACGAGCCUGUUUCUCCAAAAGGAAGCAAAAUCUAUGUUUAUUUCAGUCAAAGGGAGUCUCAAGGACAAAAUGGCCCCAUCAAUGGCAUCGUGGAUUAAUUUCUCUGCCUAUUUAUCUAUUUGUCUGGGGUGGUUUGAAUAUGCUUAACCCGGGAGUUGGUACUAUUAGGAGGUGUGGCCUUGUUGGAAGAAGUAUGUCACUGUGGGUAUGGGCGUGGGCAUGGGCUUUAAGACCCUAUUCCUAGCUGUCUGGAAGCCAGUCUUCCCCUAGCUGCCUUUAGAACAGUCUUAGCUCCUCCAGCCCCACUUCUACCUAGAUGCUUCCGUGCUCCCACCUUGAUGAUAAUGGACUGAACCGCUGAACUUAUAAGCAAGCCCCAAUUAAAUGUUGUCCUUUCUAUAAGAGUUGCCUUGGUCGGGUUGGGGAUUUAGCUCAGUGGUAGAGCGCUUGCCUAGGAAGCGCAAGGCCCUGGGUUCGGUCCCCAGCUCCGAAAAAGAGAACCAAAAAAAAAAAAAAGUUGUCUUGGUCAUAGUGUCUGUUUACAGCAGUAAAACCAUGACUCAGACUCUUAUAUAUCUAUGUAUCUAUAUAUCUAUGUAUCUAUGUAUGUAUCUAUUUAUGUGUAUGUAUGUAUUAUGAAUCUGUCUGUUUGUCUGUCUACUUGUCCUUUCUUCCUGAUAGCUUCAUUCUCUAUUGACCUGGUGCCUAUUUGUCAUAAAAAGGCUGCAGAAGCACCUCCCCACACCGCUACAUCAGCAGCAAGUGUCCACUGUCUGUCAUUGGGUCAUGCAUCCAUCUCUGAACCCUUCUCUGAGUUUGGAAGCUGUAAGGAGCUGAUUGACAGAAGCACUGAGUUGGACCCUGUAUUCAAGUCCUGGGCUAGGGCAACAGGUAGACUUUGGGGGUUAGAAGAAGCUGUGGUCAUCACUGGCGAUAGCUUAGUGUUUCGAAUGAGAUUCCCCACCUCUCACCCAUCUGGAAUCUAUAGCAUGGAGAGCCUGG